rnacentral:rRNA from 1 species
GACGAACGCUGGCGGCGUGCUUAACACAUGCAAGUCGAACGGGCCUGUCUUCUUUUUUGGGGGUGGGUUGAGUGGCGAACGGGUGAGUAUCACGUGAGUAACCUGCCCUUCGGUCCUGGAUAACCGCUUGAAAGGGCGGCUAAUACGGGGUGGUCCGGUUGGUCCGCAUGGGCUGGUCGGGAUAGAUUCACUGUUUUUGGUGUUUCGGCGGGGGAUGGGCUCGCGGCCUAUCAGCUUGUUGGGGGGGUGCUGGCCUACCAGGGCGGUGACGGGUGGCCGGGCUGAGAGGGUGGGCGGCCACACUGGGACUGAGAUACGGCCCAGCCUCCUGCGGGAGGCAGCAGUGGGGGGUAUUGCACAAUGGGCGGAAGCCUGAUGCAGCGACGUCGCGUGAGGGAUGGAGGCCUUCGGGUUGUGAACCUCUGUUUCCGGUGGUGAAGGCCCUGUCCGUGUGGUGGGGUUGACGGUAGCCGGGGAUGAAGCGCCGGCUAACUACGUG